rnacentral:lncRNA from 1 species
AUAAAUGCUUUGUGUAAAUCUCCAUUGCUGCAAAAAACAUCAAUGAAUGGACUGUAGCUCCCGUAGUCCAGCAAACAGCCUCUACCUAUGAUGUCCUCCAUCAACUUUGAUGCCUUUCCAACUCUACCCUGCCUGCAAAGCAGAUUUAUCAAAGCAUUGAAAGUUGAUGCAACAGGAAGAUAACCAUGCCCAAUCAUUUCAUUCAUCAGCUCAAAGGCAAAGCAGAUUUAUCAAAGUAUUGAAAGUUGAUGCAACAGGAAGAUAACCAUGCCGAAUCAUCCCAUUCAUCAGCUCAAGUGUUUCUCUUACAC